rnacentral:rRNA from 1 species
UACGUAGGGGGCAAGCGUUGUCCGGAAUCAUUGGGCGUAAAGCGCGUGUAGGCGGUUCGGUAAGUCCGCUGUGAAAGUCGGGGGCUCAACCCUCGGAUGCCGGUGGAUACUGUCGAGCUUGAGUACGGAAGAGGCGAGUGGAAUUCCUGGUGUAGCGGUGAAAUGCGUAGAUAUCUGGAGGAACACCGGUGGCGAAGGCGGCAUCCUGGACCGGUAUUGACGCUGAGGAGCGAAAGCCAGGGGAGCAAACGGG